CAGCAGCAAGGAGGCUGGCGGGGUGCACAGGGAGCUGGGAGGGGGCACAGCUGGGACAGCUGACCCCAGCUGGCCACAGGGAUAUUCCAGACAGUAUGGCGUCAUGCUUAGUAUAUAAAUUGGGGGAAAAAGAAGGAAGGAGGGGACGU